AACGAACGCUGGCGGCAGGCCUAACACAUGCAAGUCGAGCGGGGGAGCAAUCCCUAGCGGCGGACGGGUUAGUAACGCGUGGGAACAUACCCUUUGGUACGGAAUAGCCUCGGGAAACUGAGAGUAAUACCGUAUGUGCCCUUCGGGGGAAAGAUUUAUCGCCAAAGGAUUGGCCCGCGUUGGAUUAGGUAGUUGGUGGGGUAAUGGCCUACCAAGCCGACGAUCCAUAGCUGGUUUGAGAGGAUGAUCAGCAACACUGGGACUGAGACACGGCCCAGACUCCUACGGGAGGCAGCAGUGGGGAAUCUUAGACAAUGGGCGAAAGCCUGAUCUAGCCAUGCCGCGUGGACGAUGAAGGCCCUUAGGGUUGUAAAGUCCUUUCAGAUGGGAAGAUAAUGACGGUACCAUCAGAAGAAGCCCCGGCUAACUCCGUG
rnacentral:rRNA from 1 species